UUGUUUUUACAUAUUGAUCUAAUGUUGUUUCUUAACUAUCAGUUGUAGCUUUAUUGGAAAAUUUAAGGCAAAAUGUUCAAAAUUGGUUUGAUACAUGUCGUUUGGAAGCAGCAAGCACAUUUACAAGGUUGUCAAAAUGGGCAGAAGACCAGCUUGUUGAGCAAAAUCGUCUAGGUAGAACUAUGAAUGUAUACUCUGUUGGUCAUCAAAUUUACCAAGUUGUUGAUGGUAACUUAGAAUUUGUUGUUGAAAUUCUCAAGCGCAGUUGCACUUGUCGCAAGUGGGACUUAGAUGAAAUCCCUUGCUCGCAUGCAUGUUUGUAAUGCCCUACUACCUUAGAGUCAUUACUAAGUGAGUUUAAAAUGUACAAUUAACUCGUUAAACGAGAUUUUUAGAAUAAAAGUGUGAUUAAACAGAAAUCAAGGCUGUAAUCUUUGAAAAUACCUUAAUUCAUUGAAAAUUUCAAGUGUCUUA